rnacentral:rRNA from 1 species
UACGGGGGGAGCAAGCGUUGUUCGGAUUUACUGGGCGUAAAGGGCGCGUAGGCGGCACCGCAAGUCGACUGUGAAAUCUCCGGGCUUAACUCGGAAAGGUCAGCCGAUACUGCGGGGCUAGAGUGCAGAAGGGGCAACUGGAAUUCUCGGUGUAGCGGUGAAAUGCGUAGAUAUCGAGAGGAACACCUGCGGCGAAGGCGGGUUGCUGGGCUGACACUGACGCUGAAGUGCGAAAGCUAGGGGAGCGAACGGG